rnacentral:rRNA from 1 species
UACGAAGGGGGCUAGCGUUGUUCGGAAUUACUGGGCGUAAAGCGUGCGCAGGCGGCGCGUUAAGACAGGUGUGAAAGCCCCGAGCUUAACUUGGGAAUUGCGCUUGUGACUGGCGUGCUGGAGUGUGGCAGAGGGAGGUGGAAUUCCACGUGUAGCAGUGAAAUGCGUAGAGAUGUGGAGGAACACCGAUGGCGAAGGCAGCAUCCUGGGAAGUUCCUGACGCUCGGGUGCGAAAGCCAGGGGAGCGAACGGG